rnacentral:rRNA from 1 species
GCAGCCGCCGCGGGAAUACAGAGGGUGCGAGCGUUAAUCGGAUUUACUGGGCGUAAAGCGUGCGUAGGCGGCUUUUUAAGUCGGAUGUGAAAUCCCUGAGCUUAACUUAGGAAUUGCAUUCGAUACUGGGAAGCUAGAGUAUGGGAGAGGAUGGUAGAAUUCCAGGUGUAGCGGUGAAAUGCGUAGAGAUCUGGAGGAAUACCGAUGGCGAAGGCAGCCAUCUGGCCUAAUACUGACGCUGAGGUACGAAAGCAUGGGGAGCAAACAGGAUUAGAUACCCCUGUAGUCCCUGUCUCUUAUAU